rnacentral:misc_RNA from 1 species
GUCUUUACAUCCUUCUGGAACUACAAGGUGUACUACGUAUAUGGAUUCAUGCUGCUGGUUUUUCUAAUUCUCAUCAUUGUUACUGUCUGCGUGACCAUUGUGGGAACUUACUUCUUGCUUAAUGCCGAGAACUAUCACUGGCAGUGGACUUCAUUUUUCUCUGCUGCUUCAACUGCUGUCUAUGUGUAUUUCUACUCUAUAUACUACUAUUAUGUGAAGACAAAAAUGUCCGGCUUUUUCCAAACCAGCUUCUAUUUUGGAUACACAUUGAUGUUCUGCCUUGGGUUGGGAAUUCUUUGCGGGGCUGUUGGUUAUCUGGGCUCCAAUUUGUUUGUACG